CGUGUAGGCGGUUGGGUAAGUCAGAUGUGAAAGCCUUCCGCUCAACGGAAGAAGGGCAUUUGAAACUACCCAGCUAGAGUACGGGAGAGGAAAGUGGAAUUCCCGGUGUAGAGGUGAAAUUCGUAGAUAUCGGGAGGAACACCUGUGGCGAAGGCGGCUUUCUGGUCCGAUACUGACGCUGAGACGCGAAAGCGUGGGUAGCAAACAGGAUUAGAUACCCUGGUAGUCCACGCCGUAAACGAUGGGCACUAGGUGUAGGAGGUAUUGACCCCUUCUGUGCCGAAGUUAACGCAUUAAGUGCCCCGCCUGGGGAGCACGGCCGCAAGGCUAAA
rnacentral:rRNA from 1 species